UUUUUUGCCAUUUCCAACACAAAAAACACACCAAAAUUCCAUUUUUUUUCCCCAAAAUCCCAUUUUUUUUCCCCAAAUUCCCAUUUUGCCCCCUCCUCAAUGCCGGGGUGUCUCCGGGGGUCCCCAGAGCUGCCUGAGCGCCGCCUUUCCCCCUUCCCAGCGUUUCUGCAGCUCCUCCUGCCCCCGCCCCUUUGGGGCCAAUUCCGCCCCUUUUGGGGCAAUUCCAUCCAUUUUUGGGGGUUUUGAUCCCAUUUUGGGGCAUUUCCACCACUUUUUGGGCCAAUUUCACCCAUUUUUGGGUGUUUUGAUCCCAUUUUGGGACAAUUCCAGGCAUUUUGGGUCAAUUCCAGCCAUUUUUGGGGGUUUUGAUCCCAUUUUGGGCCAAUUCCAUCCAUUUUUGGGACUUUCCCAUCCCUUUUUGGGGCGAUUCCAUCCAUUUUUGUGUCUUCUGAUCCCAUUUUUGGGCAAUUCCAGCCAUUUUUGGGUGUUUUGAUCCCAUUUUGGGCCAAUUCCAGCCAUUUCUGGGACUUUCCCAUCCCUUUUUGGGGUGUUCUGGUUCAUUUUUGGGUCAAUUCCAUCUAUUUUUGGUUGUUUUGAUCCCAUUUUUGGGGGUUUUGAUCACUUUUUGGGCAAAUUCCAUCCAUUUUUGGGACUUUCCCAUCCCUUUUUGGGUGUUUCGAUCCCAUUUUGGGCCAAUUCCACCCAUUUCGAGCCAUUUUAAUCCCGUUUUUUGCCAUUUCCAGCACACAAAACACACUUUUUUCCACCAAAAUUCCGCUUUUAUCCCAUUUUUUCCCCCUCCUCAAUGCCGGGGUGUCUCCGGGGGUCCCCAGAGCUGCCUGAGCGCCGCCUUUCCCCCUUCCCAGCGUUUCUGCAGCUCCUCCUGGUCGCGGAGGUCGGCGGCGCUCAGCUCCAGCAGCGCCCGCGCCUCGGCUCCGUACUCGGCCAGCCGGGACCGGGCCUCGGAACCCAAAUCCCGCAGCUCCUGCACGGUGGCUCUGGGGGGAGAAAAACGGGGAAAAAAUGGGGAUUUUGGGGGAAAAAAUGGGGUUUUGGAGGGAAAAAAUGGGAUUUUUGGGGAAAAUUGGGGUGUUGGGGGAAAAAAUUGGGGAUUUUUGGGGAAAAAUUGGGAUUUUUGGGUCUUUUUUUUGGGAAAAAAUGGGAUUUUUGGGGGAAAAAUGGGAUUUUUGGGGAAAAAUUGGGAUUUGGGGAGAAAAAUUGGGGAUUUGGGGGAAAAAUCGGGGAUUUUUGGGGGGAAAAAUUGGGAUUUUUGGGUGUUUUUUUGGGAAAAAAUGGGAUUUUUAGGGGAAAAAUGGGAUUUUUGGGGAAAAAUUGGGAUUUGGGGAGAAAAAUUGGGGAUUUGGGGGAAAAAUCGGGGAUUUUUGGGGGGAAAAAUUGGGAUUUUGGGGGAAAAAUUGGGAUUUUUUGCUGGUUUUUUUGAAAAAAAUGGGGAUUUUGGGGA
rnacentral:lncRNA from 1 species